UGAACCAUUUUUAGCUGAUGAAAAUACUAGUGGCCUAAGACUUUUGCACAGUACUGUACAUUAAAGGCAUAGGUCACGAAGAAAUAAACCUGAAUUCAUUAUUUGCUCAUCCUGGUCUUUCACAUGCAUGACCUUCUUUCUUUUACAUAACACAGAAGGAGAGCUUUUUAAAAUAAAUAUCCUAGUUGUGCUUGAUCAUUUGAAAAAAAAAUUGCAAAAAGGAUGCAGAUAUAGAUAUAUAAAAUGUCCAUCUUGCUAAAUUAAGAUGAAUAAACAACACAAAACAUUACACCUAUAAACCUUCAAAAGUAUGCAUGUACUUUCUUUUCUGAGCUCUCUGUUGUGUUAAGAAUAAUUGGUCUCUCACUUAGGGAUAUUAUUAUGAUUUUACUUUUUUAAUAUGAUGAAUGGCUGGCCUGGAUAAACUGUUUUUUUUUUCUUUUUUGUAUUUUAUUCAGAGUCAUCAAAGAGUGAUGUCAAUAAUUCAGCCAGUGAGUCAUCGAAGAGUGAUGUCAAAAAUUCAGCCAGUGCCUUCAGCCUUCUAUCCACUGUGAUGUUGUGUCCCCUUGGAUUGGUCUUGUCACACUUUGUAUCACACUGAAAAAAGAUCAAGAAGUGACCAUGAAAGUGCUGUGACGCUGAUGCUCACUACUUAGUUACCUCAUCUAGCAUUCUCACUGUAUAGCUGUUAGGGAAAUGUUUUGAGGGAAACAGCUGUUGAACAAGUAAGACAUAAAGAUUAGUCUUUUGAUUUUAGUAAUGAUCCAUAUAAUUAUUUCAGUUAGUGAAAUCAAAGCUUAAAGAGGAAUGUACUUUACUCCCCAACACUGCACGUUUAUUAUUUCUCUCCAGUCAGAAGUGAGCGUCUAUAUGUCCUAGAGCAGAACCCUUGAAGUGGGGACUUUGGAGGGAGCAGUGCUCUUAUGUAAGGUUUGCCAUUUGGAAUGCACCUGAUGAAGGGAACAAUAUAAAAUGACAUAUUUUCUUCAUCUUCACCUGGAAUGUUACCAUGAUAACCAUUAAUCACCCCAUUAGCUGGAUACAAUGGGAAUCUCUUAUUAUUGCUGUAAUUGUUGUAAAUAAGUAACACAAAAACACUUUUUGGAAUUUGCCUCAGAUCUUGCCGUAUGCACUAAUGAGCUAAUAGUUAAAUCAGGUGUGUUAGAUGAAGCAGACAUACAAAAUGUGAAGUGUUGAGGGUCUCUGGUACAGGUUUGGGCACCAGUGAAAUAGUUGACAGAAAUAAUUGCUACAAGAUGUUAAAAAAAAAAAAAAAAAAAAAAAAAAAAAAAAAAAAAACUGCUGAGGUGGGGUUAUAAACACAAUGUAUCAGCUGUACCUAUUGUAGAUCUGUACUUUGUCAGAUGCUGUCAAUUCCCAUGAAUGCACUAAUGGUGGCCACAACUGCAUCUACCACUUUAGUUAGUAUCUGAGUAAGAGUAAGUUGAGUAAUUAGUGUGUGGAUGAAUUGUUCAAUAUUUUUUUUGUAAUUUAAGAUUGCUGUGUGAUAUUUCCAAUUUUGAUUUAAACUGUUUGCAAUCUAAAUUGUACACUCUUUUUCUAAAGAAAUGCUACUGAUUUGCACAUUUUCAGCUGGAUAUAAUAAUAAAAAAUAAAUUAAAAUAAAAUAAAAAGCUGAGUUAUGAAUAUUAGUAGUAGCAUUCCCAGAUAACAAAAUACUAUACUAAAAAAUAGUUGAUUCAUCAGUGUUAAUGGCAUUGAAUUAAUAUCGCUUUUGCACCCGCAAUUAAUGUUGAAAAAAUGUUGAAAUUUCAACAAACCGCCAUUACUGUGAUAAGUUCGUUAUGCUCUUGAUUCUUGCUUUCCAGACAAUUCUCUUUUCUUGCUUACAGUGUAAACACCCAAGCUUUAAAAAAGAAAGCAAUAUUUUAAAAUUAAGUUGGAGUAGAUAACUCUUUGUGAUGGGUGUCAAGCUGCAAAAAAGUUGAAAAACAAUACUUAACAAUAUUGGUGGUUUCUCAUUACAUAUGCAAAUGUUCUAUUUCACAAGUACAAAGAUACUGUGGAAAAAUAAAAAUAUUUAGACAUCAACACUCAUCAUACAAACCUCAACAGUGGUGACAAUCAUCAAACUAAUUCAGAUAAACGGACCAAUUGCAGUGUAUGCUGGGAGUCAUGAAUUAGUUUUGUACUAUGUUGAUGCCCAGCAUGCACUUCAGCAUAACAUUUUCUUUUGUUGAUUGUCCCCCAUGUUGAGUUGCAUACACUGAUUCUUGAUGUUUAAUUGAUUCAGCAAUUUAAUGUUUUUGUUGGUAAUUCAUAGAAGUAUGGUAGCAGUACCACUACUGUAAUCUCACACUGUAGCAUCACACAUAAAAAAAACACAACAAUGUAUUUUAGCACUUUGUUACAAGUGACAAAGAGUCAAGAGCCCAAAUAAAGCAAUCACUGAUCACAAUAAUGGUAUUUUGUUGAAAUGUCAACAUUUUGUUAACAUUAAUUGCGAAUGCAAAUAUGAUUUUGAUUCAAUGCAAUUAACAUUGAUUUUGUAUGUACUGUACAUGUCAUAUUGGUGUCACAACAUGCAUUUCACAUGGGUGUGUACAAACAUUUCCUAUGCAUUUGUUUGAGCAUUUAGCACAUGUGUGUGGUUACUUCACAUUUGUGUACGAAAGUGUAUCAUGUACUGCAAGUGAAAUUUGUUCAGGUGUGUUUGAUUAGGGUUGGAGCUGAAAUCUGCAGGAAAAUGGAUCUCACGGGCCAAAGUUGAGAAUCCCUGCCUUUAGCUCGCCAUUAGUAGGAAGAAAGCAUUUACUAUAAUGGGUAGUGAGCGUUGGUCCUGGAGAGCCGCAGCCCUGCAGAGUUUUGCUUUAACCCUAAUCAAACACACCUGAACAAGCUAAUCAAGGUCUGAAGGGUUACUAGGAAGCUGCAGGCAGGUGCGUUUUUAUUAGGGUUGGAGCUGAACUCUGCAGGGCUGCGGCUCUCAGGACUGGAGUUCACCACACCUGUACUAUAACUUCAAAAUAUUUCUGAGGUGGAAGAAUGUUGUUCCACAAACCAUGGAAAUGACUUUCCAAAAGCUGAAUGCUAUCCAACAAUCCAUGGGCCUACAAUUUCUCAACUGUGAAAGAUGAAAAAACAAUAUUGGCAUCAAAUAAUAGCCCAUAUUCUGGCAUUUUAGGAGGUUUUUGGUUUGGUAAUUAAGAUUUAUGUGUUCAAAGUUAUGUUAUUUUUUUACAUAGCCACAUAAAUAGAGCUUCAGAGACGGGCAUAUCCCACACUGUAAAAAAAAAAAAAAAAAUGUAAUUUUACGGAAAAUAACUGAUUUUUUCAGGUUGUUUUCUUUUAUUUUGAAUUGCAGUCAAAACUAUGUAAAACUAUCUUUAAAUUAAAAACCUGGCUGUUAUUUUAAGUAUUAUGACAUUAAUUACAAAUCACAGUAAUUCACAUUUUUUAUACUGAAAAACUACUGUAUUUUUAUACAGUAUGUUUUCUGUUUUCUUAAUUUACAAACAAAUAUUGUAAAAUUACAAAAAAAAAAUCUGUAAUUAAUACAAUAACAAAUCCGUUAGAUGAUAAAACGGUCAAAUGACUGGCAGUAAAGUAAAAUCUCCUUAUUUAAAUAAGCUGACAAACACUGUUAUUUUACAGCUAUUUCCUGAAUUUAAUGAUCAAACACCUCGACUGUAAAACAAAAGACAAAAAACGGUCAAAUGACUGGCAGCACAGGGUGCCAAACAAAAACCUUCAAAUUAAAGUCAAAUCUCUUUAUAUAAAUAAUUUAACAACACUCUUAAUUUACAGGCAUUUCCUAAAUUAUUACAAACAAACACCUUGACUGUAAAAUUAACUCAUUAACUAAUUAAUUAAGUACUUAAACAUCACAUGACUGACAGCAACAGAACAUGAAACACUAACAGAUCUCUCUAGAUCUCAGCAUCUAGUCUGACUUUAUUUCUUUCAUACAAAACUUCUUAUUGAGAAUUAACAGAUGUUUAUAUGUUAAUGUUUUUAGUGAAAAUAAAAAGUUUGAAGUCACCAUUGCGGAGAUAAGCAUUUGCUUUAGUUGUGUUCUUGAUCCUUGACUGUAUAAAUUAAGGUUUUUUUCUGUUUUUAGGCACAUGUGUUAUAGCAAAAACUAGUAUAGAAAAGCUGUUCAGAUACAGUUGGUUGUUAACAGUCAGCAGUUUAUUGAUCAUAGUAGCCUGACUCACUGAGCGUAUCAAGAAUGUCAUUGUUGAGUAUGUUGGCUUUAAGUUCUGCAGUUUUACAGUAGUUCUACAAUAUUACAACAACAAUUUUUUUUUCUGUCUUAUAUAUUUUUGAACAGCUAGGUUUUUUGACACACACAAACAUCAAGGAUCAGCACAUGAAUCUCAACAAUGGUGACAAUCAAUAAAAAGCUUGUUUUGUGAUUUUGUCAGUUGUCACCAUUGUUGAGAUUCAUAUCCAGAUUCUUGAUGUCUGUGACUCUACACUAUCUUGUGUAUAUAGCUUUCUCAUAAAGUGACUGACAUGUGAUUAACAUGUUCUGAUAUGAGAUUUCUGCUGAUGACAAGGUCAUGCAUAGAACAUAACCAAUUUUGUUUGAUUAGACACUUUCUUGCUGGUUUUCAAUAACAAAUGUGCUUUAGAAACGCACAGCUACAGCAACUAAGAGAAAAAAAAAACAGUUAAGAAAAUCAAAAGCACAACUAAAGCAAAUGUUUAUCUUCACAAUGAUAAAAUCAAGCUUCAUUCCUUUCAAUUAAACACCAACAUCUAAACCUCAGUAAAUUCUCAAUAAGUUUUGUAUGAAAGAAACAAAGUCAGACUAGUUUGUAUUAAGCGAAGAUGCAGCAAUCUAGAGAGAUCUGUUAGUGUUUAAUAUUCUUUUGGGAUUUAAAGGGUUUCUGUUGUCCGAUUUUAGUGGGUUACCAUUGUGCUGAAGAGUAGAGCGUGUGCUUUAGUCCAGGAGAAGACAAGAAAGUGUUGCUGUUAUGCUGCAUGUCAUUUUGUUUAAAGGCUGUAACUGUGUAGUUGUUGAUGCAAUGAUAGUUAGUUUUUGUAUGUGUGCUGUUGUUAGUUAGUGAUUAACUGCAAAAAAAGCUUUGUUUCCCAAAGAAUACCUAUAA